CGGACGGGUGAGUAAUGUCUGGGAAACUGCCCGAUGGAGGGGGAUAACUACUGGAAACGAUAGCUAAUACCGCAUAACGUCGCAAGACCAAAGAGGGGGACCUUCGGGCCUCUUGCCAUCGGAUGUGCCCAGAUGGGAUUAGCUAGUAGGUGGGGUAAAGGCUCACCUAGGCGACGAUCCCUAGCUGGUCUGAGAGGAUGACCAGCCACACUGGAACUGAGACACGGUCCAG
rnacentral:rRNA from 1 species